rnacentral:rRNA from 1 species
UACGGAGGGGGCUAGCGUUGUUCGGAAUUACUGGGCGUAAAGCGCACGUAGGCGGCUUAGUAAGUCGGCGGUGAAAUACCGAGGCUCAACCUCGGCACUGCCGUCGAUACUGCUAUGGCUAGAGUUUGGUAGAGGAGAACGGAAUUCCCGGUGUAGCGGUGGAAUGCGCAGAUAUCGGGAAGAACACCCGUGGCUAAGGCGGCUCUCUAGUACGGUACUGACGCUGAGGUGCGAAAGCGUGGGGAGCAAACAGG